GGCUCCAUGGUCUAGCUGGUUAGUGACGCGGCCCUUUCAAGGCUGUAACGCGGGUUCAAUCCCCGCUGGAGCUA
rnacentral:tRNA from 2 species